UUGAAUUUUGGGUCGUGACAUGGGUACAAUGGCUGAAUUCUUAUAUUAUUUCCCAAAAAUUCUUAAAGACAUCACGUGCCUUCCGAAAACCAAUCAAGAGCCUCAAUUACUGCAUAUUUUCAGCUCACCUCUCGCAAUAUAACCAUCAAACAAUUGCUCAAAUUGAUCAUUAUUAAGUUCCCUAGUCCUGCAAGUUAGUACUGCAUCCCUGCUCGACCAUGUAAGAUCCGAACCACUUUCUUUCCUUUUCUUGACAGAAAGCUUCGCCUGCUUCAACACAUGAUUUAGAUGGAAUUAAAACUUGACAACUAAUACUUUCAAGUUUGAAGUGAACUUCCUAUAAAAUAGUGAAUAGUUCGAUAUCAACAUUGAGAAAUAUGUAAACAGAUAAAAAAACCUUGUAGACCACCACAGUUGAUGCAACCUGAGCAGAGAUCCAACUAUCUCUUUUUCAAUUGUUGAGUGUCUAUGACUUGAGUUAUUCUUAUCUCACAUAAAGCAUAAUUUGUUGAAAGGGAUGAAAGAAAAGCAACAAAUAAAAAAGAUCAAGUUAUUUUCUCCCUAGUGACUAGGGUAACAAUUGAUCACAUAAAAGUAACUGCAAUAUGAUUUACAGAUCUCCUAUUGUUCAUCUUGUACUUGAAACAAUCCAACACCUUAGCAAAUAGUAGUAGCUAAAGAUUUUAUAAGUUUGUAAUGCUUCACAAUUGCUCUCCAAUCUUCUAGGCGCAAUUCUAGCAAUUUUCAGUAAGGACGCCUCAAUGUAGUAGCACUUUACUUCUUGAAUUUAAAUCACACUUUUCAUCUCUAAUUGCAAAAAAGGAUUAUUUAUAAGAACAAAACUUGUAUUAUGCUUUCAUUUCUGCAUAAAAAGUCAAGACUUAAACACCUCUAAAGCGCACAUAUAAGACAAAUAAAAAAGGCAAACUUGAUUUUUAAUAGGACCAACAAUGGUACCGAAUUGAAUGUAAACAGCAAAGGCAGGCUUCAUCAUCAAGAUCCAUGGCAUAGAGAUGUUGAACGUUCAUGAAGAUUUAGCAAAUAAUGAAAAAAUUAUAUAUAGCCAAAUACAAGGAGCUUUUCUAAGAACAAAGGGUACCAAGAAUAUAAUUGAAAUACCUGAACUGUUUUAUACACCUGCUGCACAUCUAGAUACCUUUCUUCUGCAAAUUUGUUUUAGUCGAUCAGUCGAACAACUAUCAUGAGCCAGUACCCAACAGAAGCAUGCCACUUCAUAUGGCAUAAUGGAUCCCGCGAUGAUCUUUCAAGGUCAAGAGGAAAAAUUAUCAGCUGCUAAGACCAUAAAUUUGCAGCAAAAUUACACUGAAAAAGUACCUUUUUUGCUCAGUCAAAUCUAAAUAAUCGCAAGUAACAUCUUGUCUUCAUACACAUUUCUUCUGACCUAGAUAUCAAUGAAAAGAAAAGAAAAUCAAUGAAAUUAAUUAUCUAUAUCUUAGUAGUUAAAUAGACACUACAUACAAAGACGAAUGAAAGCUUUCUCCUAAUAAUGAACCUGACAAAAAGAUAUUGAUAAUUGUAGCACGAUCAAGAUGUAGAGGUAGAGCACCAUAAAAGAAUAAUAAUAUUCAUUCUCUUCUUCUGAAAAAGCAAAUGUAAAUGUUAUGUAUCAAUGAAUUGUAUGGAACCUAAGCAAGGAUUGAUUACCAUGUUUGAAGGAAUCCAUAGUUGAAAUUGUAAUAUAUUUCAAAUCAAGAACAAAGAUGAGUUCAUUAAGGGGAAUAAACUAUCAGCAGAUAAAGAUAGUAUAAUUAAUUAAAGAAAUUAUGGUUUAAAUAAUGUUUAAUUUACUUAUCAUGUGAACAAAAAGCAGUUCACCUUAGGUCUUUGAUCACUCAUCUAACUACAUAAAAGUCUAAACAAUUGAAAUUCAAAGGGAUUCACACAGAGAUACAUGAGUAUAUUGUUUAUAAUAUUUAGUAUAACAUUAGCAACUACUAUAUUUUUUACUGCCAUACCUAUAGUUGCCAAAACAUCUCUUAAAUGUCCUAUCAUUAUGUCAUCAUAAGUCCCGGGGUUGCAAAAUGAUAGAUGUUAAUGUUAUAUAUUACCUAUGAAAAAAAGUUGGAAUAAAAAAUAAUUGAAUUGUUUUUUCCCUUUCGUAUAACAUCUCCGCUGGAUCGAUGUUGUUCCCUUUCAUUACACAUUUUUUCCAGAUGGAAAUCCAACGUGCUUAGUACUAUAUUGUUAUUUGAGCACCUAAGCUGAAAAUUUGCAUAGAAGCAUUUGAACAAAUAGCCAUAUGCAUAUACAGUAUUCAUCAACUUUGUUUUUGAAAAAAGAGGAAACAAUCUUAUACAUUGAAGUAAAAAAGAAAAAUAAAGCACAAAUGUAAAAAAUAACUUUAUAGGCUAGUGAAGAUUAUAACUCAAUAGUCUACAAAAAAAAAAUAUUAGAGUCGAAGAUUUACAUGCUCACCAAGAAAGAAUAGAAGAACAUGGCAGAACUCAUAAAUAUUCUUCGUCCUCCGUUUUCUGGCUUUGUUAUUGUAUUUCGCUGAUUGGGAUGAAUGUAAGUUUUGGAGUGUGAUCCUCGAUGUUUUACAUGUACACAACAAAACAUGAGGAUAAUUAAACAAAAGUUGAAUACCAUAAAUAAAAAUAGAUAACAAAAUAGAAAAGGACAAAGGAAAAUACCAAAGAUAAAUUAAUACUCACCAGAACAAAAUAAAUUCAACUAAGGAGAUCACUUAAAGGAGAAAUAGAUCAAGUUAGAAAACAUACUAAUUGAUGAGUAAAAGAGAAAGGCAGAGGAAAAUGAAAACAAGCAAAAGUGAAGAUAAUUCUAGAUUUAGAGGUGUUCAAUUACAUGCUAGUAAUAGCUUCAAUUACAUGCUCCCUUCUUUCGGCAAGAAAUGGGUUGUAAUAUUAGGAGAUUAGACCGAGGAACUCAGGAGGACGACUUUAGUGGAGGAUCAAAAACUGAGCAAUAAACUAAAGUAAUAGUAUUCUAUAUCUAAAGUGUGUACACGUGUAUGCUGAAGGAUAAGUCUAAUACAU
rnacentral:lncRNA from 1 species